ACCGCGUGUGUGAAGAAGGCCUUAGGGUUGUAAAGCACUUUCAAUAGGGAGGAAUACCUUUUAGCUAAUACCUAGAAGAAUGACAUUACCUAUAGAAGAAGCACCGGCUAACUCCGUGCCAGCAGCCGCGGUAAUACGGAGGGUGCAAGCGUUAAUCGGAAUUACUGGGCGUAAAGCGUGCGUAGGCGGCUAAUUAAGCCAGAUGUGAAAGCCCUGGGCUUAACCUGGGAACUGCAUUUGGAACUGGUAAGCUAGAGUUGAGUAGAGGUAAGUGGAAUUUCAGGUGUAGCGGUGAAAUGCGUAGAGAUCUGAAGGAACACCAGUGGCGAAGGCGACUUACUGGACUCAAACUGACGCUGAGGUACGAAAGCGUGGGUAGCAAACAGGAUUAGAUACCCUGGUAGUCCACGCUGUUAACGAUGUCAACUAGCCGUAGGUCUUUAUAUAAAGAUUAGUGGCGAAGCAAACGCGGAUACGUUGAGCGCCUGGGGAGUACGGCC
rnacentral:rRNA from 1 species